CUGUAGCUAACCCGGCUAACCCCAGGCAAUAAGAGCAGCUGUCAAAAUCCCGUUAUUACAACACUCCACAACAUCACACAGUAACCUACCGUGACCGUCGAGUAUUGGGAUUUCCGUGAGGCUGCUUUGAAAGAAGGUCGGUACAAACACCGCCGCGUUGACAUUCGGGACAAACGGCUUGGCAUUGACGUUGAGAGCGGCGAGAGCGGACUGGAGUCCCGCGGCGUCUCGGGCCUCGGCAUCCUCCUCCUGCUCCCACGAAUCCGGGGCUGUGUCUCGCGGGUCCAUGGCAGAGUUAGCUAAGCUAGCUAGCUGGCUUGACUGUGAAUAACGCACCUGGCUUGAUGUCCGUUCUGUUAUCUUCCUACUUAUGUUAAAAUAAUUCGCGAUGCUUCACUGUGUCUUGUUUUGGGAGGCAUAUGGUGAGCCGGUGUCUCACGGAGACGAGACCGACGAGAGAGAGAGACGUAAAACCCACAGUUCCACAACGAACCACUAGGAGGGCUCCUCGAGGGGCUAACCCUGGAACUACAGAACAAUGCAUUCUGGAAGGUGAGGUUGAACGUAAAGCGGUCUAUCGCCACUCUGUAAACCGCAAUUCCCCCCGGAGUGAAAGUGGCCUCGUUCUCAGGCAUAUCAGGACUGCAGGAGACCAUGGAAAAUAAUGAAUCUACGAGAGGAGGAAGAUCUUUCUCUAUAGUUCCCAUAUAAAUCUGCAAGAGCUGUGGCCAGACCUUCAGAGACCUUCUGCAGACGAGAGCAUCUGGGCCAGCUUCUGUUGUCUCUCUGCCAGCUCCCCUCGGCCAGAGAAAUCUACCCGGAACAGAGCCAUGAUGGAGUCUAUGAUCUGAGGGCAGGAAUGGGAAAGACAGAGACACAAGAUAUUAUAAAUGCUUAUUACACAUAAUAAUGCAUUAUAUCUGUCGACAUUAACUAAAGUGUUACCGAAAUAUAAGUACAGUGAUAGUAUUUUUUUCUUAGUGUCAACUUCUAACAUAAAACAAUAUGAAAGGUGAUGUUGUUUAUAUUUUAUUUUCAUUUAAUACCAGAAGUUUGAAGAUGCCUCCCUCCUCGUGGAAUUUGGCCGCCAC